GGAGAAUGUCUUGUUUGUGGCUUGUCAGCAAUUGCUUGAGACAAGCUUCCAUGUGUGAAAGCUACUUGGCAUGAAUGCCUGGGCCGUACCAAGUGUCACCGCAGCGAGAGGGGGAGUCAGAAGAAAAACAGAUCAGACCAGAGCAGACAAUAGGCCCCUAAAGUGUUCCCCCUAAGUUGCUUUGAUGUUGUCCUGGUGUCUUGAUACCAGGAGGCCAGGGAUUGCAGGAAAAGGGUCUUUUUUGUCUUCAUUCACUUUCCCCCCUCAGUUUCUGAAAUGAUUCUCCAGAAUUUCUCCUCAUAAAAAAGUUUUGAAACGUGGUCUCACUAAGUUGCCCAGGAUGGACUCGAACUUUUGAUUCCUCUGCCUCAGCCUUGCAGAGUGCUGGGAUUGUAGGUAUGUGUCACUGCGCCAAGCCCAGUUCAACUUCUGGCCCUUCAUGAAAUUAUCACUCAUCACUCCAGAGUCUACUCACUGCUUUUUCUUUUUUGUCAUUUUUUUUUUUUCUGGGACGUCUAUACUUUGCAUCAUGUCUAUAAUUCAAUUAAGGAAUUAUUAUUAAACACUUUAUUAUUGUUUUUUCUUGAAUUGGUCUGUAAGAUGUUUUCAGCUUCUAAUAAAACUCUCACCCUACUUAAUUUGGUACUAGACACUCUAGGUGCUUAUUAAUUCUCUUGGGUAAAAAUUAAGAAAGCAAACAUGUAAAAGCCAUUGUGAGAUUUAAAAAACAGGUUCUUGAUCACCUGUUUAGUGUCCUCAAUUACUGUGGAUCAAGACUGUCUUUAGUCACUUUUCUCAUUGCUGAGACAAAGUACUCAAGAGCCAAAAUUAAAGGAGGAAAGGGUUUUUUUGGCUCAGUUUGUAGAGGUUUCAGUCUGUAAUUGGCUGGCUUCAAGGCCUCGUGGCAUGGCAGAGGGGCAUCGCAGAGGAGAAACAGUUAUGGACAAAGCAGGGCUGGCAGAAGGCAGCAAAAAAGCAAGCUACAAGGGACAAGCAAUAAGCAAUGGUCCUCUUUCUGUCCCUUAUAUCUCAUACAGGCUACCCACCCACACUCACACCCUUAAUCCUAG
ensembl:lncRNA